rnacentral:sRNA from 1 species
AAUGCAGGCUAUAUCCAAAAUACAGUGUGAAUUAGGCUAGAAUAGAAAUGCUUUCUAUUCUACCUUCAGAAAAGGAAAAGGGUAGGGUAGGGGAAAUCAUGGGAGAGAUUAAAGGCAGAGAGGAAACCCAGAUGGGACUGUUUAAUCCCCAAGCAAGAAACCACUAGGAAAGAGAGAUACCUUCCCUCUAACUUUUGUAUUCGGUGCACUGACAUUGCUCUCUGUGCUGGUGGGAAAUUGAUUUCUGUGCCAGGAUGUUCUAGGCUGAGGCCAAGAGGGUGCUGGCCCUUUACCCAGUGGAAGAAAAAGGCAAGGGUGAGGCUUUGUAGACUUUCCCGUUAGGAGGUAAUGAUGCCUCCUUCAGCCCCACUUCUUCAAACUGACUCCACCUGCUCCCAUCUCCACACCCUCCAUUUCUCAUUUAGCCAAAGCACAUCAUCCUUGCAGCCCACCACUCAGCUUGGCCAGGUGCGAGACAUCUUUCCCCACUUCAUACCUCCCCUCCGGCCAGGUGAUGUUUGCCUCCUCAGGUGCCCGUGAGGGGCUGUGGCUCCACAUCGAUGCUGCUUAUGCAGGCACUGCCUUCCUGUGCCCCGAGUUCCGGGGGUUUCUGAAGGGGAUUGAGUAUGCCGACUCCUUCACCUUUAAUCCUUCCAAGUGGAUGAUGGUGCAUUUUGACUGUACUGGGUUCUGGGUCAAGGACAAGUACAAGCUGCAGCAGACCUUCAGUGUGAAUCCCAUCUACCUCAGGCAUGCCAACUCAGGCGUGGCCACCGACUUCAUGCACUGGCAGAUCCCCCUGAGCCGACGGUUUCGCUCUAUUAAACUCUGGUUCGUGAUUCGGUCCUUCGGGGUGAAGAAUCUUCAAGCACAUGUCAGACAUGGUACUGAAAUGGCUAAAUAUUUUGAAUCUCUGGUCAGAAACGACCCUUCCUUUGAAAUUCCUGCCAAGAGGCACCUUGGCCUGGUGGUUUUUCGUCUAAAGGGUCCUAAUUGUCUCACAGAAAAUGUGUUAAAGGAAAUAGCUAAAGCUGGCCGUCUCUUCCUCAUCCCGGCCACUAUCCAGGACAAGUUAAUCAUCCGUUUCACUGUGACAUCCCAGUUUACCACUAGGGAUGACAUCCUGAGAGACUGGAAUCUCAUUCGAGAUGCUGCCACUCUCAUCCUGAGUCAGCACUGUACUUCCCAACCCAGCCCUCGGGUUGGGAACCUCAUCUCCCAAAUCAGGGGCGCCAGAGCCUGGGCCUGUGGAACGUCCCUUCAGUCUGUCAGUGGGGCAGGAGAUGAUCCAGUCCAGGCCAGGAAGAUCAUCAAGCAGCCUCAGCGUGUGGGAGCCGGUCCCAUGAAAAGGGAAAACGGCCUCCAUCUUGAAACCCUGCUGGACCCAGUUGAUGACUGCUUUUCAGAAGAGGCCCCAGAUGCCACCAAGCACAAGCUGUCCUCCUUCCUGUUCAGUUACUUGUCUGUGCAGACUAAGAAGAAGACGGUGCGCUCCCUCAGUUGCAACAGUGUGCCAGUGAGUGCUCAGAAGCCACUGCCCACAGAGGCCUCUGUGAAGAAUGGGGGCUCCUCCAGGGUCAGAAUCUUUUCCAGGUUUCCAGAAGAGAUGAUGAUGCUGAAGAAAAGUGCCUUCAAAAAACUCAUCAAAUUCUACAGCGUCCCCAGCUUUCCUGAAUGCAGCUCUCAAUGUGGACUCCAGCUGCCCUGUUGCCCUCUGCAGGCCAUGGUUUAGACCCAGGGCCUUCAGCCAGAGUCUGAGGAUAUACUUCAGGGACUCUGUGAACCCCUCACAAUUGUAUGCUAACUUUGUGUGCUUAUGUGUACAUGCAUUUUUCUUGGGGUGAGUUCAUAAUUUUAAUCAAAUUCUCAUAGGGGUUCAUGACCCACAAUAGGAUACAAACGAAGAGUUUAAGCCAGCAUGAUCCAGAUGGGUUCAGCAGGCUGGUCAGUGAGAAAGGGCCGAGGGUAGACAGGCAGCUUCUGUGGUUCAGCUUGUGACAUGAUAUAUAACACAGAAAUAAAUUAUGCUUGUCCCUGAAACAAAA